rnacentral:rRNA from 1 species
UACGUAGGGUGCAAGCGUUAAUCGGAAUUACUGGGCGUAAAGCGUGCGCAGGCGGUUGUGCAAGACAGAUGUGAAAUCCCCGGGCUUAAACUGGGAACUGCAUUUGUGACUGCACGGCUAGAGUGUGUCAGAGGGGGGUAGAAUUCCACGUGUAGCAGUGAAAUGCGUAGAGAUGUGGAGGAAUACCGAUGGCGAAGGCAGCCCCGUGGGAUAACACUGACGCUCAUGCACGAAAGCGUGGGGAGCAAACCGG